UGGAUCCUGAGUACGACGGAGCACGUGAAAUUCCGUCGGAAUCUGGGAGGACCAUCUCCUAAGGCUAAAUACUCUCUAGUGACCGAUAGUGAACCAGUACCGUGAGGGAAAGGUGAAAAGUACCCCGGAAGGGGAGUGAAAGAGAACUUGAAACCGUGUGCUUACAAGUAGUCAGAGCCCGUUAAUGGGUGAUGGCGUGCCUUUUGUAGAAUGAACCGGCGAGUUACGAUCUGAUGCAAGGUUAAGCAGAAAAUGUGGAGCCGUAGCGAAAGCGAGUCUGAAUAGGGCGAAUGAGUAUUUGGUCGUAGACCCGAAACCAGGUGAUCUACCCUUGGUCAGGUUGAAGUUCAGGUAACACUGAAUGGAGGACCGAACCGACUUACGUUGAAAAGUGAGCGGAUGAACUGAGGGUAGCGGAGAAAUUCCAAUCGAACUUGGAGAUAGCUGGUUCUCUCCGAAAUAGCUUUAGGGCUAGCCUCAAGUGAUGAUUAUUGGAGGUAGAGCACUGUUUGGACGAGGGGCCCCUCUCGGGUUACCGAAUUCAGACAAACUCCGAAUGCCAAAUAAUUUAACUUGGGAGUCAGAAUGUGGGUGAUAAGGUCCAUAUUCGAAAGGGAAACAGCCCAGACCACCAGCUAAGGUCCCAAAAUAUAUGUUAAGUGGAAAAGGAUGUGGCGUUGCCCAGACAACUAGGAUGUUGGCUUAGAAGCAGCCAUCAUUUAAAGAGUGCGUAAUAGCUCACUAGUCGAGUGACACUGCGCCGAAAAUGUACCGGGGCUAAACAUAU
rnacentral:rRNA from 1 species